UACAGAGACCUCAAGCGUUAUCCGGAAUCAUUGGGCGUAAAGCGUACCGAUAGGUUGUUUAUUAAGUCUUGGGUAAAAGCCGGAAGCUCAACUUCCGCGUUUGCUUAAGAUACUAAUAGACUAGAGGGGCAAAGAGGUGCUUGGAACGAACGGUGUAGUAGUGAAAUGCGUUGAUAUCGUUCGGAACACCGAAAGCGAAGGCAGAGCACUGGGUGCCACCUGACACUGCUAGGACGAAAGCGUGGGGAGCGAAUGGG
rnacentral:rRNA from 1 species